rnacentral:tRNA from 1 species
AGGGUUUUAAGUUAGACAAACUAGCAACCUUCAAAGUUACCAACAAGAGUAAAUUCUUAAACCCUA